CAGUCGCCGCGGUAAUACGGAGGGUGCAAGCGUUAAUCGGAAUUACUGGGCGUAAAGCGCACGCAGGCGGUUUGUUAAGUCAGAUGUGAAAUCCCCGAGCUUAACUUGGGAACUGCAUUUGAAACUGGCAAGCUAGAGUCUUGUAGAGGGGGGUAGAAUUCCAGGUGUAGCGGUGAAAUGCGUAGAGAUCUGGAGGAAUACCGGUGGCGAAGGCGGCCCCCUGGACAAAGACUGACGCUCAUGCACGAAAGCGUGGGGAGCAAACAGGAUUAGAUACCCCGGUAGUCCCUGUCUCUUAUAC
rnacentral:rRNA from 1 species